GGGGUCGACAUGGUUUCGACGUGGAUUACAAAGCAUCAAGGGCAUACCGAGGACCCGUUAUCUCGUAAAUCAAUGGGAAUGUUACAAGAGAUAAGACUAUCUCGCGUCACGAGGGGUAGUACGAAAAUUUAGUGAAUCGCUUGCGUGGAACAUGUCAAUCUGUGACUAGCAGGCUAAAUUAAAUGAUAUGACUAAGUAUGUAGAACUUGCUGUAGAGGAUUUGCGGACGCGGGUUCGAUUCCCGCCGACUCCACCA
rnacentral:tmRNA from 1 species